rnacentral:rRNA from 1 species
CCUACGGGGUGCAGCAGUGGGGGAUAUUGCACAAUGGAGGUAACUCUGAUGCAGCGACGCCGCGUGCGGGAAGACGGUCUUCGGAUUGUAAACCUCUGUCUUUGGGGAAGAAACUGACGUUACCCAAAGAGGAAGCUCCGGCUAACUACGUGCCAGCAGCCGCGGUAAUACGUAGGGAGCGAGCGUUGUCCGGAAUUACUGGGUGUAAGGGGAGCGUAGGCGGGCGAGAAAGUUGAGUGUUAAAUCUACCGGCUUAACUGGUAGCUGCGUUCAAAACUGCUUGUCUUGAGUGAAGUAGAGGCAGGCGGAAUUCCUAGUGUAGCGGUGAAAUGCGUAGAUAUUAGGAAGAACACCGGAGGCGAAGGCGGUUUACUGGACUGCAACUGACACUGAGGCUCGAAAGCGUGGGGAGCAAACAGGAUUAGAUACCCCUGUAGUC